rnacentral:lncRNA from 10 species
GGGAAUUUUAGCUUAGAUGCUCUGUACAGAGAACAGAGGCUGAGCUGCCCUGCACCAGAGAAUAUCUAGAGAUCUGAUUGCUCUCCCUACAGUGGUAUUGUCACUUAUCAUAAGUUAUAAAUCUAAAACUAUUUUUACAUUUUUAGUAUUUGGUAACACUUUUAAAUUUUUAAUAACUCUCAAAACAUCAAAAGUGCAUUAAGACGUCAGAUUAAGUAGUGCAAUUUUUGACUCUUACAGAUAAUUAAUACAAAAUAUUUGUGGACAUUUACCACCCAAUGGUGGGCAGGGGGAGCGCAUGCUGAAACAAUAUUAGCAUCUGCCUCAAAAAUGAAUCGUUAUUUUAAGAAGAUUAUGUCUGAAGACCACAAUUUAAUAGAUUUACAUUGAUCAUCCACUAUGUUCCAGAUACUACAUGAUACUAACAAGACAACAGGAGAAGUGAUAUCAAAAGACAACGACUACACCAAAAUUUGGAGAAAAAGGUGAAUCCAGACAGUCACAGGGACGUGGAUGAAGCUGGAGGCAUUAUCCUUGGCAAACUUACACAGGAGCAGAAAACCAAAUACCACAUGUUCUCACCUGUAAGUGGGAGCUAAAUUAUGAGAACAUGUAGACACAUAGAGAGGAACAACACACACUGGGGCCUAUUGGAACGUGGAGGGUGGGAGGAGGGAGAGGAUCAAGAAAAACAUUUAGUGGGUACUAGACUUAAUACCUGGAUGAUGAAAUAAUCUGUACAACAAACCUCCAUGACACCCAUUUACCUGUGUAACAAACCUGCACAUGUAUUCCUGAACUUGAAAUAAAAGUUUUUUUAAGUGUAACUUACCAUUUUAAAAAAUAGUAUUUUUAA